UGGGGAAUAUUGCACAAUGGGCGCAAGCCUGAUGCAGCGACGCCGCGUGGGGGAUGACGGCCUUCGGGUUGUAAACCUCUUUCAGCAGGGACGAAGCGAAAGUGACGGUACCUGCAGAAGAAGCACCGGCCAACUACGUGCCAGCAGCCGCGGUAAUACGUAGGGUGCGAGCGUUGUCCGGAAUUACUGGGCGUAAAGAGCUCGUAGGUGGUUUGUCGCGUUGUUCGUGAAAAACCGGGGGCUUAACCCUCGGCGUGCGGGCGAUACGGGCAGACUAGAGUACUGCAGGGGAGACUGGAAUUCCUGGUGUAGCGGUGGGAUGCGCAGAUAUCAGGAGGAACACCGGUGGCGAAGGCGGGUCUCUGGGCAGUAACUGACGCUGAGGAGCGAAAAGCGUGGGGAGCGAACAGGAUUAGAUACCCUGGUAGUCCACGCCGUAAACGGUGGGUACUAGGUGUGGGUUUCCUUUCUUGGGAUCCGUGCCGUAGCUAACGCAUUAAGUACCCCGCCUGGGGAGUACGGCCGCAAGGCUAAAAACUCAAAUGAAUUGACGGGGGUCAUAGCUGUUUCCU
rnacentral:rRNA from 1 species